CUCAUGAACUAGGACAAAAAAUUCUCGAUGUGCUCGGAUCAGACACUUCGGAAGCUGCAUAAGAGGCCGCCUGUCCAACAGCUUUAAAUCUUUUAGUACCAGGAUCCGGUUUGAUCGGAGGAAGCCUGUGUGGUCCAGCUUGCCAUUGGGUACAGAAUCACCUUGGUUAAAAAGAAAUUGAUAUUUUUUAUAAGUGAAUAGAACAUUAAAUAUCGUUAUCUA